CUUGUAUUAUUAUAUUAUUAUAUAUACUUGUAUAGGAGCUUUGUUAGCAUAAAAACGAUCUGUUAGCUCGCCAUUAGCAUUGGAGUCGAAGUGUUCUGAAGGAGGCAGGUCAGUGAGUUAAAUAACCUCUACUCUGACGUCAAUGCCCUGUGUUGUCGUCAUGUUGUGUGACCUCAUCAUAUUCCAUGAGGUCACGUGACUCUACAUAUAGAGGGAAUGCGCAUGCGCGUCAGGUGCGACUUCACAGCGGGUUAAAAACUUAAACCCACUGAGUGUCAGAAAGACUGAGUGGCAGUGUAAACUUUCAGUUUGAGCAACUGGAAAACAUCUAAAAUGGGAAAGAGCUGUUGUGGGAUCGACUAUACUCAUAGAUUUAGCAAGAAAUCUGAGUUAUCGUUUUACAGAAUGACAAAAAAUAGGCUUAAGAGAGACAAAUGGAUCGCUGCAAUUCACAGAAACAACUGGAUUCCAGACACCGAAACGUGGAUUUGCAGUUCCCAUUUUGUAUCAGGAAUGUAUGAUGCCACCAAAAAGGCCUUUAGUCAUUUGGGGACAGAGACUGGCUGGAUGGAGAAGACAGUUGCCAUGGGAGCAGAGGGGGCAGCAGUGAACCUUGGGCAUAAGGGGGGUGUAAUAGCUCUCCUCCAAGCAGAGGGUAACUUUAUUGUGCCCUUUCACUGCUUGCCACGUAGACUGGAGCUGGCAAUGCUGUCAGUGCAGAGAAAACCCCCAUGGUGGAUCAAGUCUACAGUCUGCUGAACAUGGUGGAGGAAGGGACCCCCAACUGCAGAACCUAGGACAGUUCACAGCAGUGUAUUUUCAUAUGGAUCAUUUGAGUGCAUCAUCAGCCAACGCAGAUGUUGCAGGAAGAGCAAGAAAGAUGAAGACAUCACACCAUCACCAACAGCCAAGUGAGAUCAUUCAAGAUCUUCAGCCAUGACUCCUGGCCAGAGCAGAGAUCAGCUAAUCCACUACGGUGGGGAAGAGCUGGAUUUCCUGCUGGGUCACUUCUCUACUGUGCUAACAAGGUCCAUGAGUCUUUAAAUCAUUUAGGGGCAGAUGACCACGUUCAAAACAAUGUUCUUACAAAUGUAACUUAAUUCUACAGGAACCAUUUAAAUUGUGUGGUCGUCUUACUUUUCACUCCUUUCAGAAAUGGCUGUGACAUUAAUCUGGCUCGAGAGGAGAACCAGUCAAUGAAGAUGUUCAUUGCAAGUAAUUACAUGGACAAGUCCUACCACAGCUUUAACUAAGGAGCUAUACAUCUCUGAUUUGCAAGCUCUUACGGUGUGUUUGCAGUGUAUUUACUGUACAUCCCAGGAAUAAAAACAUUGUGAACCAUCAGUUUGAGAGUCAUCCAUCAUCAGUCGGGGAUGCUACAGAAAUUGGGGGGUUGGGGACCACUGCUUUAUAGAACAUCCUCCAUGAUGUGAACAUCAUGCUUGUCCUUCCUGUGUCAUCGGCUGUGUGUGAACGGGGAUUCUCAGCACAGAGGAGAAUCAAAUCUGACGUCAGGGGGUCCCUGCAUGUGGACACAGUGGAGGACCUGGUCAGAAUAAGUCUUGAGGGACCAAGCUUGGAGGAGUUUGAUGCCAAGGAGGCUGCAGCUGUGGUUUAGUCAGAGUAAAAGAGCAAGAAGGCCCAACUACGAGGGUUGGCCUACAGAGGUCUCUAACCAUAGCAGGGUCGGCGCCAGAGCAAAUAUUCAGAGGGGGCACGAGGCUUAUUAGAGCGGGCACAAAAUCAGUCGUGUAGGACAGCAUUUUAAGGAAAAAAGUGCAUUCUCACUGCUUUCCUAUUAAUAAUCUGUCUAAAACAGCCUUUCUCAACCUUUGUUCAGUCAUGACACCUUUUCAAAAGUGAAUAAAAUCUCACGACACUCCAGAGUAAAAUAUAAUUAAAAACCGCACUGCAUCGCUCUGACUGUAAAUGCAUAAGUCCCGUUUAUUUUGGAUCAAUAACUUGAGCACGAUAACUGCACCAAAGUUUGAAGUCAUCGUUCACUGCUGUGCUUGGUUGCCACGCUGAUGGACAGAAACUAUGGUGAUUUUUAAAAGAAAGACUGCCUAAAGAGACUUUUCCAGCCGGCUUCACGCCGGCCGUUCAAAGUGAAGCAUGAUUUAUGGUUCUGCGUUAAAUCGACGCAGAGCCUACGCCGUAACGUACGCGGCGAAGCGCACCGUACGUGCGAGGAAAUUGGGACUGGCACAGCUGAUUUAGCGGAGCUCUUUAAUGCAGAAACAGA